rnacentral:rRNA from 1 species
AUUGAACGCUGGCGGCAUGCCUUACACAUGCAAGUCGAACGGCAGCACGGGUGCUUGCACCUGGUGGCGAGUGGCGAACGGGUGAGUAAUACAUCGGAACGUACCUUAUCGUGGGGGAUAACGCAGCGAAAGCUGUGCUAAUACCGCAUACGCCCUGAGGGGGAAAGCGGGGGAUCGCAAGACCUCGCGCGAUUAGAGCGGCCGAUGCCUGAUUAGCUAGUUGGUGGGGUAAAAGCCCACCAAGGCGACGAUCAGUAGCUGGUCUGAGAGGACGAUCAGCCACACUGGGACUGGGAGACGGCCCAGACUCCUACGGGAGGCAGCAGUGGGGAAUUUUGGACAAUGGGGGCAACCCUGAUCCAGCAAUGCCGGGUGAGUGAAGAAGGCCUUCGGGUUGUAAAGCUCUUUUGUCAGGGAAGAAACACCGGCUCUAACACAGUCCGGGAAUGACGGUACCUGAAGAAUAAGCACCGGCUAACUACGUGCCAGCAGCCGCCGUAA